rnacentral:misc_RNA from 1 species
AUUACUUUCAGUGAGAGAGCAUAGUGUGGUCUCUCCGUACUUCUUUAUCGCUCUUUAUCUAUCAUUGUCAAUACUCUCUCUUUAUUUGAUUGAGAUCAUUUGUCUUUUUUAUUUGCUUGUGGUAAUUAUUAUGUCAAUUUAGCGUCAACUUCCACUGUUUUUUUCAGGCUGGCUCAGCUCAUUGCACUGAUAAUAAACAACGCUCAAGAUUAUCUGGGUUCCUCGAAAUUUGAAUUCUAUUGGAUUCACCAUUCAAUUUUUUAAUCUGGGUCGAUUGGUUUUGAGGCAAAAUGUUGAAUGCUCGAAACCAAGUUCGAGAUUUGAAGCCAAAAUGGCUUCUCUGAUCUGGAGUCCGUCUGUAGCAUUUUAUACUCGCUGAAAACGGAGAUUCUGUAAGUAUGGAUAUCCAAGAAGAUAGCUCUAGAUUUACUGGGUUAGCUGUAACAACUUCAAGGAAUAUGUCA